rnacentral:rRNA from 1 species
AACACGUAGGGGGCGAGCGUUGUCCGGAUUUAUUGGGCGUAAAGAGCUCGUAAGUGGUUCGAUAAGUCGGGUGUGAAAACUCUGGGCUCAACUCAGAGACGCCACCUGAUACUGUCGUGACUUGAGUCUGGUGGGGGAGUGUGGAAUUCCCGGUGUAGCGGUGAAAUGCGCAGAUAUCGGGAGGAACACCAGUGGCGAAGGCGGCACUCUGGGCCAGUACUGACACUGAGGAGCGAAAGCGUGGGUAGCGAACA